rnacentral:rRNA from 1 species
GAUCCGGCUCAGGAUGAACGCUAGCGGCAGGCUUAACACAUGCAAGUCGAGGGGCAGCAUAAUGGAUAGCAAUAUCUAUGGUGGCGACCGGCGCACGGGUGCGUAACGCGUAUGCAACCUACCUUUAACAGGGGGAUAACACUGAGAAAUUGGUACUAAUACCCCAUAAUAUCAUAGAAGGCAUCUUUUAUGGUUGAAAAUUCCGAUGGUUAGAGAUGGGCAUGCGUUGUAUUAG